GACAGAGGGUGCAAACGUUGUUCGGAAUUACUGGGCGUAAAGCGCGUGUAGGCGGCUCGGCAAGUCGGAUGUGAAAGCCCUGGGCUUAACCUAGGAAGUGCAUUCGAAACUCCCGAGCUUGAGUUCUGGAGAGGAAGGCGGAAUUCUCGGUGUAGAGGUGAAAUUCGUAGAUAUCGAGAGGAACACCGGUGGCGAAGGCGGCCUUCUGGACAGUGACUGACGCUGAGACGCGAAAGCGUGGGGAGCAAACAGG
rnacentral:rRNA from 1 species